ACCGGCGCACGGGUGAGUAACGCGUAUCCAACCUGCCCACCACUUGGGGAUAACCUUGCGAAAGUAAGACUAAUACCCAAUGAUAUCUCUAGAAGACAUCUGAAGGAGAUUAAAGAUUUAUCGGUGAUGGAUGGGGAUGCGUCUGAUUAGCCUGUUGGCGGGGUAACGGCCCACCAAGGCGACGAUCAGUAGGGGUUCUGAGAGGAAGGUCCCCCACAUUGGAACUGAGACACGGUCCAAACUCCUACGGGAGGCAGCAGUGAGGAAUAUUGGUCAAUGGACGAGAGUCUGAACCAGCCAAGUAGCGUGCAGGAAGACGGCCCUAUGGGUUGUAAACUGCUUUUAUAAGGGAAUAAAGUGAGUCUCGUGAGACUUUUUGCAUGUACCUUAUGAAUAAGGACCGGCUAAUUCCGUGCCAGCAGCCGCGGUAAUACGGAAGGUCCGGGCGUUAUCCGGAUUUAUUGGGUUUAAAGGGAGCGUAGGCCGGAGAUUAAGCGUGUUGUGAAAUGUAGACGCUCAACGUCUGCACUGCAGCGCGAACUGGUUUCCUUGAGUACGCACAAAGUGGGCGGAAUUCGUGGUGUAGCGGUGAAAUGCUUAGAUAUCACGAAGAACUCCGAUUGCGAAGGCAGCUCACU
rnacentral:rRNA from 1 species